GCCUGGGUGGCUUGGUCGGUUAAGCGUCUGACUUCGGCUCAGGUCAUGAUCUCACGGUCCGUGAGUUCGAGCCCCGCGUCAGGCU
rnacentral:tRNA from 1 species